CAGACAAUACAAGCGCCUCGGACCGAGUCCCCGAACCUGCCCUAGCCAAAAUGGCGGCCGAGAAAGAGCGGAAGUGACGUUAAAGAGGCUUUUGUAUACUGGAGAUAUAAGCAAAAAAGGUCUAAGGUGACUUUACGCAGAGAUUGAAGGAUGAGUAGCAGAUGGUCAUGAAGGAACAUGGAAACAGCAUUUCAGGCAAAGGAAAAUAGAACUCUGUGAACUCAGAAGCAUGCUUAUGGCAUGGAAAGCAAAAAGGAAGGAGCACAAGGCAGAGGUCAGAAAGGGAGGCAGGGGCCAACAAACACAUAGGGGCCUGAGGGACAAGGGAAGGAGCUUGGAUUUUUCCCUAGAUGUUAGUGGGAACUCCCUGAACUGGAGGGACAAUAAUCUGAUUCUGUUUUUGUGUAUCUAGCUUAAACUCCGAACAGCUUCCAAAAUCUUAUUCACAGAGGUUUUGUGAUCUUUUGGGCUAAGAAUUUAAUUAUAUUGCCUACAAACAAAUAUAAUUGUGUAUAUUUUACUAACAUUUAACUAAAUUCUUGUCUUACUGUAUUAACAUUUCCAUGUUUAAUGAUAGCUAGCAUGCCUGUCUUAAUGAAUGUAUUGGAAAUGAUUCAGCAUUUCACUAUUUGGUGUGAUAUUUGUAUAAUGACUGGGUUAUUUUUUAUUAUGCUUAAGAGGUUUCCUUCUAUUCUUAAAGUUUUAACUAGAAAAUGGUAGUAAAUAAUAUCUCCUUUAGCAUCUACAGACUUAACCACACUACUUUGUUAACAUAAUGAAUGAAUUAUAAGUGAUUACCAAUAAUGAGCCAUUCUGGCAUUCCUGGAAUAAACUCUUUUGUUCAUGG